GACGAACGCUGGCGGCGUGCUUAACACAUGCAAGUCGAACGGUGAAGCUCCAGCUUGCUGGAGUGGAUCAGUGGCGAACGGGUGAGUAACACGUGAGCAACCUGCCCCUGACUCUGGAAUAAGCGCUGGAAACGGCGUCUAAUACUGGAUACGAGAAGGGUCCGCAUGGGCACUUUCUGGAAAGUUUUUCGGUUGGGGAUGGGCUCGCGGCCUAUCAGCUUGUUGGUGAGGUAAUGGCUCACCAAGGCGACGACGGGUAGCCGGCCUGAGAGGGCGACCGGCCACACUGGGACUGAGACACGGCCCAGACUCCUACGGGAGGUAGCAGUGGGGAAUAUUGCACAAUGGGCGAAAGCCUGAUGCAGCGGCGCCGCGUGAGGGAUGACGGCCUUCGGGUUGUAAACCUCUUUCAGCAGGGAAGAAGCGAAAGUGACGGUACCUGCAGAAGAAGCACCGGCUAACUACGUG
rnacentral:rRNA from 1 species